rnacentral:rRNA from 1 species
UACGGAGGGCGCGAGCGUUGUCCGGAAUCAUUGGGCGUAAAGGGCGCGUAGGUGGCUCGCCAAGUGGGCGGUGAAAGCCUGGGGCUCAACCCCGGGUCGGCCGUGCGAACUGGCGAGCUGGAGCACUGUAGAGGCAGGCGGAAUUCCGGGUGUAGCGGUGGAAUGCGUAGAGAUCCGGAAGAACACCGGUGGCGAAGGCGGCCUGCUGGGCAGUGGCUGACACUGAGGCGCGAAAGCGUGGGGAGCAAACAGG